rnacentral:tRNA from 1 species
UGGGUUAUCGCCAAAUGGUAAGGCAGUGGGUCUUGAUCCCACAAUUACAGGUUCGAGUCCUGUUAGCCCAG